rnacentral:rRNA from 1 species
ACCUAAAGAAUUUGGCGGUGUUUUAGUCUUAUCAGAGGAAUUUGUUUCAUAAUCGAUAUUCCACGUUUUAUCUUUCUUUAUUUUGUUUAUCAGUAUGUAUAUCUCCGUUAUAAGUUUAUUUUUAUAGAAUUAUUUACUUUAUAUUAUAUUAGAUAUUAUUUCAGGUCAAGGUGCAGCUAAUAAUAAAGUGUAAAUGGAUUACAAUAUAUUUUGUAUAUAAUGAAUAUAAUUUUUAUAAUUUUAUUGAAAGUGGAUUUGUUAGUAAUUUUAUUUAUAUUGGUUUUUUGAUUUUAGCUCUAAAAUGAGUACACAUCGCCCG